UGGGGAAUCUUGCGCAAUGGGGGAAACCCUGACGCAGCGACGCCGCGUGAGUGAUGAAGGCCUUCGGGUUGUAAAGCUCUGUGGGGAGAGACGAAUAAGUGUAGUCGAAUAGACUGCAUGAUGACGGUAUCUCCUUAGCAAGCACCGGCUAACUCUGUGCCAGCAGCCGCGGUAAGACAGAGGGUGCAAACGUUGUUCGGAAUGACUGGGCGUAAAGCGUAUGUAGGCGGCUUUGCAGGUCGGAUGUGAAAUCCCUUGGCUCAACCAAGGAAGUGCAUUCGAAACCGCAGAGCUUGAGUGCCUGAGAGGAAGGUGGAAUUCUCGGUGUAGAGGUGAAAUUCGUAGAUAUCGAGAGGAACACCCGUGGCGAAAGCGGCCUUCUGGAAGAGCACUGACGCUGAGAUACGAAAGCAUGGGGAGCAAACA
rnacentral:rRNA from 1 species